CCGCCCUAGUUCUAACCAUAAACGAUGCCAGCUAGCGAUCCGCUGAAGUUCCUCCGAUGAUUCGGCGGGCAGCUUCCGGGAAACCAAAGCUUUUGGGUCCGGGGGAAGUAUGGUUGCAAAGCUGAAACUUAAAGGAAUUGACGGAAGGGCACCACCAGGAAUGGAGCCUGCGGCUUAAUUUGACUCAACACGGGAAACCUCACCAGGCCCAGACACCGGAAGGA
rnacentral:ncRNA from 1 species